rnacentral:rRNA from 1 species
GACGUAGGGCGCGAGCGUUGUCCGGAAUCAUUGGGCGUAAAGAGCGUGUAGGCGGCCAUGUAGGUCCGGUGUGAAAACUCGAGGCUUAACCUCGAGAUGUCAUCGGAAACCAUUUGGCUAGAGUCCGGAAGAGGAGAGUGGAAUUCCUGGUGUAGCGGUGAAAUGCGCAGAUAUCAGGAAGAACACCAAUGGCGAAAGCAGCUCUCUGGGACGGUACUGACGCUGAGACGCGAAAGCGUGGGGAGCGAACAGG